rnacentral:misc_RNA from 1 species
GAUGAAGAACGUAGCGAAAUGCGAUACGUAAUGUGAAUUGCAGAAUUCAGUGAAUCAUCGAAUCUUUGAACGCAUAUUGCGCUCUUUGGUAUUCCGAAGAGCAUGCUUGUUUGAGUAUCAGUAAACACCUCAAAGCUUUUGGAUUUUUUAAUCGAAAAGCUUUGGACUUGAGCAAUCCCAACACCAAUCUUUUUGAGAUCGGUGGCGGGUUGCUUGAAAUGCAGGUGCAGCUGGACAUUCUCCUGAGCUAAAAGCAUAUUCAUUUAGUCCCGUCAAACGGAUUAUUACUUUUGCUGCAGCUAACAUAAAGGGAGUUUGACCGUAUUGGCUGACUGAUGCAGGAUUUCACAAGGGUCGGCAACGAUUCUUGUUAAACUCGAUCUCAAAUCAAGUAAGACUACCCGCUGAACUUAAGCAUAUCAAUAAGCGGAGA